CGCGCAGGCGGCUGUUCAAGUCCGAUGUGAAAUCUUCCGGCUUAACUGGAAAACGGCAUCGGAUACUGGACGGCUGGAAGGUGGGAGAGGGUAGCGGAAUUCCCGGUGUAGUGGUGAAAUGCGUAGAUAUCGGGAGGAACACCAGUGGCGAAAGCGGCUACCUGGCCCACUCUUGACGCUGAGGCGCGAAAGCUAGGGGAGCAAACGG
rnacentral:rRNA from 1 species